rnacentral:rRNA from 1 species
GAUGAACGCUAGCGGCAGGCCUAACACAUGCAAGUCGAGGGGCAGCGAGGGUAGCAAUACCUGUCGGCGACCGGCGCACGGGUGAGUAACGCGUAUGCAACCUACCCUUCACAGGGGGAUAGCCCGCCGAAAGGCGGAUUAAUACCCCAUGGCCCCAUUGUCCGGCAUCGGAUGAUGGGUAAAGGAGCAAUCCGGUGGAGGAUGGGCAUGCGUGCCAUUAGCUAGUUGGCGGGGUAACGGCCCACCAAGGCGACGAUGGCUCGGGGGUCUGAGAGGAUGGUCCCCCACACUGGUACUGAGACACGGACCAGACUCCUACGGGAGGCAGCAGUGAGGAAUAUUGGUCAAUGGGCGGAAGCCUGAACCAGCCAUGCCGCGUGCAGGAAGACGGCCCUACGGGUUGUAAACUGCUUUUCCGGGGGAAGAAUAAGGGCGACGUGUCGCCCGAUGCCGGUACCCCGGGAAUAAGGAUCGGCUAACUCCGUG